rnacentral:lncRNA from 1 species
UAUAUAGAAUCUUUUAUUUACAAUAAUUCAACUUACAUUCAUAUCUGCAUGACAGUUAUUUAUGACAAAAAUUUAUAUUAUAACAGUCAUAAUCAAAGAUUUUUCAAUAAUAGUAGCUGGUGAUAAAGCAGUUUUCUCAUCACUUGAAAGAUCCAAAUUCACUCUCAAUUUUUAUAUUUCCAGGUUUUCAAAAGGAAUCAGGGCCCAGCCCAUUGAACUCUAUCUUUUAUCUGACAACAUGAAAUUGUUUUCUCAUUUAGUAACAUUGGCUGGAAAAUGGUAUAAAACAAAAGAGCAAAAUAUAACAGCAAUCACACUAAUAUAUAACACUUCUUCAGUUAGCACUCUCAAUUGAAGAAAUUUUCUUAAAAUGUCUGCACUGAAAUUGCAUG